AUGAAGAACGUAGCGAAAUGCGAUAAGUAAUGUGAAUUGCAGAAUUCAGUGAAUCAUCGAAUCUUUGAACGCACCUUGCGCUCCCUGGUAUUCCGGGGAGCACGCCUGUUCGAGUGUCGCGAAAUUCUUCAAGCCUUGGAUGGAUUUUUUUUGUCUGUCCUUGGGCUUGGUUGUUGGGCUCUGCCGUGUCCUUCAUUGGGACGGCUGGCCUUAAAAGCAUUAGCCGAUCCUCGUGUGGUACUGGUUCUACUCAGCGUGAUAACAAUCUGAUCGUUGAGGACAUCUUCUGGAUGGCCAGUCAUCAUUUGGGUUGCUUCUAAACCGGUUUCGCAGAUUGCUCAAUCUGUGUGCCACUUUUCAGCUUUGACCUCGAAUCAGGUGGGACUACCCGCUGAACUUAAGCAUAUCAUAAGCGGAGGA
rnacentral:misc_RNA from 1 species